rnacentral:rRNA from 1 species
CCUACGGGAGGCAGCAGUGGGGAAUAUUGGACAAUGGGGGGAACCCUGAUCCAGCCAUGCCGCGUGUGUGAAGAAGGCCCUCGGGUUGUAAAGCACUUUCAGUGAGGAAGAACGCCUGGUGGUUAAUACCCAUCAGGAAAGACAUCACUCACAGAAGAAGCACCGGCUAACUCCGUGCCAGCAGCCGCGGUAAUACGGAGGGUGCGAGCGUUAAUCGGAAUUACUGGGCGUAAAGCGCGCGUAGGUGGCUUGAUAAGCCGGUUGUGAAAGCCCCGGGCUCAACCUGGGAACGGCAUCCGGAACUGUCAAGCUAGAGUGCAGGAGAGGAAAGUAGAAUUCCCGGUGUAGCGGUGAAAUGCGUAGAGAUCGGGAGGAAUACCAGUGGCGAAGGCGGCCUUCUGGACUGAUACUGACACUGAGGUGCGAAAGCGUGGGUAGCAAACAGGAAUAGAUACCCUGGUAGUA